rnacentral:tRNA from 4 species
GCGCCCGUAGCUCAACGGAUAGAGCAUCUGACUACGGAUCAGAAGGUUGGGGGUUCGAAUCCCUCCGGGCGCGC